rnacentral:tRNA from 1 species
CACAGUGUAGCUUAAUUAUAAAGCAUCUGGCCUACACCCAGAAGAAUUCAUAAUAAAUGAACACUUUGA